GACGAACGCUGGCGGCGUGCUUAACACAUGCAAGUCGAACGGAAAGGCCCUGCUUUUGUGGGGUGCUCGAGUGGCGAACGGGUGAGUAACACGUGAGUAAACUGCCCUUGACUUUGGGAUAACUUCAGGAAACUGGGGCUAAUACCGGAUAGGAGCUCCUGCUGCAUGGUGGGGGGUGGAAAGUUUCGGCGGUUGGGGAUGGACUCGCGGCUUAUCAGCUUGUUGGUGGGGUAGUGGCUUACCAAGGCUUUGACGGGUAGCCGGCCUGGGAGGGUGACCGGCCACAUUGGGACUGAGAUACGGCCCAGACUCCUACGGGAGGCAGCAGUGGGGAAUAUUGCACAAUGGGCGGAAGCCUGAUGCAGCAACGCCGCGUGCGGGAUGACGGCCUUCGGGUUGUAAACCGCUUUCGCCUGUGACGAAGCGUGAGUGACGGUAAUGGGUAAAGAAGCACCGGCUAACUACGUG
rnacentral:rRNA from 1 species